AAGAGUUAGGGUCUUCUCGGCCCGACCUCCCAACCCCAUGUUUAUUACACCUGUGUUGCUUCGGCGGGCCCGUCUUCGUGACCGCCGGAGGAUCGUCGAAAGGCGUCCUCUGGCCCGCGCCCGCCGAUGGCCUACGCUUAAAAUUCUGAAUCAACCGUGUCUCAUGUCUAAGUCCUUCAUAAAAUAAAGCA
rnacentral:misc_RNA from 1 species